UCGAGUUACCGCUCUACAACCCUUUGUGAACAUACCUAACUGUUGCUUCGGCGGGCAGGGGGUCCCCCCGGGGACGCCCUCCCGGCCCCGCCCCCCUACCAGGGGACGCGGCGCCCGCCGGAGGAUACCCAACUCUAUUUUAACGACGUUUCUUCUGAGUGGCACAAGCAAAUAAUUA
rnacentral:misc_RNA from 1 species